rnacentral:rRNA from 1 species
AUUGAACGCUGGCGGCAUGCCUUACACAUGCAAGUCGAACGGGCGAGCGCGGGGCAACCUGGCGGCGAGUGGCGAACGGGUGAGUAAUAUAUCGGAACGUACCCUAGAGUGGGGAUAACGUAGCGAAAGUUACGCUAAUACCGCAUACGAUCUAAGGAUGAAAGUGGGGGAUCGCAAGACCUCAUGCUCCUGGAGCGGCCGAUAUCUGAUUAGCUAGUUGGUGGGGAAAGGCCUACCAAGGCAUCGAUCAGUAGCUGGUCUGAGAGG